AGGCCCCGUAAUCGGAAUGAGUACACUUUAAAUCCUUUAACAAGGAUCCAUUGGAGGGCAAGUCUGGUGCCAGCAGCCGCGGUAAUUCCAGCUCCAAUAGCGUAUAUUAAAGUUGUUGCGGUUAAAAAGCUCGUAGUUGGUUCUGCGUGCCGCGCUGUCGGUUCGCCGCCUGUCGGUGUAACUGGCAUGUCGCGGCAUGUCCUGUCGGUGGUGAACGGAGUCCACGACGCUACAUGGGCUUUAUAGUCGAUGUUAGCAUCGUGUGUACUUCCGUUGGCCGAUCUCUCCUACUUCGGUGCUCUUAAACGAGUGUCGAGGUAGGCCGACACGUUCACUUUGAACAAAUUAGAGUGCUUAAAGCAGGCUGAAAUAUCUGCCUGAAUAGUGGUGCAUGGAAUGAUAAAACAGGACCUCGGUUCUAUUUUGUUGGUUUUAGGAAUAUGAGGUAAUGAUCAAUGUGGACUGGCGGGGGCAUUCGUAUUGCGACGUUAGAGGUGAAAUUCUUGGAUCGUCGCAAGACGCACUAGAGCGAAAGCAUUUGCCAAGUAUGUCUUAAUUGAUCAAGAACGAAAGUUAGAGGUUCGAAGGCGAUCAGAUACCGCCCUAGUUCUAACCAUAAACGAUGCCAGCCAGCGAUCCGCCGAUGUUCCUUUAAUGACUCGGCGGGGAGCUUCCACCCGGGAAACCAAAGCUUUUGGGUUCCGGGGGAAGUAUGGUUGCAAAG
rnacentral:rRNA from 1 species